GCCGCGCGCCGUUCCGCCGCACGAGGAUGAGGGCGCCGGCUACGCCCUCUCCCUUCUCUCCUUAGUCCUCUCCACGAGGUGCCCGUCGCGUUGAGCAGAGGAGCCACCGGUUCCCCGAGCGGCCCCGCCGCCUCUUCCGGGCGACGUCCCGCUUAGUCAUCCCCCGCCGCUUCACUAGGCAAGGGCACUCGCCGUCUGGCCCCUUUCGUGGCCUCAACCGGCCUUAGCCCGACAGUUACAAUUCCUGCCCCCGGCGGCGGCAACUUCGCUCCCCUAGUUUCCAGCCCCUCCGGGCGGCAGAUCCUAGGUCCUGGUCACGCCUGCGUCGCCGCUGCGAGGGUUCGAGCCCGUAUGGUAACGCCCCGCCUCCCGGCCGCUUCCGGUCCGCUGCCCUCCUUGCUGCCCCUCCCGUACGCUCUGCCUCGAGUCCAACUUAAGAUUAUUUAGGUCCCCAGUUAAACAUUGUAGUUUUGCAAAAAGGUCUAAUUUGGGAAAUUGCCAGCGCGUUACACGCGUGAGAGCGCUGCAGGUGCACCCGUGUUCCCUGACCCGACUAAAAGAGGGACGAGCAAAACAGCAGCGUUCUUUUUGGGAUCGGGCAGGGGCAGGCGUAGGGACGGCGGCGGCGGCGGGAGGGUUAAGGGAGACGAGGACGACGAAGGGAGGUGGAGAGGGAGGAGGUACGGCAGUCCCCGCGGGGAGUUCGGGGUGGAGUAGCCAAGGAGUGGGGCCCGAGGAAGAGGGGGCGGGUACGACGAGAGACACGCGCCGUUGGCCUAUCUCCUCCUUCUAGUCCUCCCGGCGUCCCUACUUCCUCCUCCAUCUCGGCAAGUGCAGCGGCGGCGGCAGAAGGAGCGGGAGUCGCACGCCCGGCGUCGCGAGGUGGAGGAACCGUAGAGGCAGACCAGACGUCUACAACUCUUUAUUCCCUGCCUUCGUUCUACACUCCUACACCUCUGCGAUACAACGGAGGUAGGGACCGGAAGAAGAACCGCACAUGAGCAACCAGUACGAGGCGAAGGAGGUGAGGGUGGAGAGCCGGAGCUGUGGAGACGCAUAAAGAGGUAGUGAGAGAACGUCACAACAAUAGAAAAGUCCAUACACGACUCUUAGGAUCCACGCCGCUGGAGUUGUUACAGGGUAGCAACGGCCGCCAGCGGAUAUACGAGGACGCCUUAUUCAAGAAGGACUGGUGGAGCUGUGAGUGGCGGCGGCUCCUUAGGUCCCUGUUCUGAUGGUGGUUCAACGAGUAGGCGGAAGUCCACGUCUGCCACCCGAAACGCACCAGCUUGGAUUCCAUCAAGGAAAGUUCCCGAUUAUGGUUACUCCACAUGGUCCACGCGACCGAAUACGGUAGCGUAGGUGGCUGUCGUUCCACCUCUUCCUCCGCGAGUUCCUCUCCCUCCGGUCCUACCACGAACACAGAUAUGCCACUGUCGCACCUGGAGAAGAAGCGUCUCUCCUGCUUCAACGUACAGGGUUUAGCAAUCCCCGAUCCAACAAAGGCGCAGCUCCUCAAGUAAAACCGUCUGCCUUGAAAACUUUCGAUCUUAUAAAACCACUUUACACUUCCCGACGAAGUCAAAUGGGUAUCACAAUAAAGAUCUACUUGUUCCUCACCACUGUAACACUCUACCACUUCGGUCUCGUAACAGCUACUUUGAUCGGCUCCUCCUUAACACUCAAGUGGAGGGAGAGGAAACGUAGCCAACAUAAAAGAGAGGAGAAACACGGGUAUAUACAAUACAAAGGGGACCAGCCACACUUCACUCGUGCGUCAAACAGUAGCAAGCAGUUAGCAGACAGGACAAGCAGAAGUGAAGCAAGCUACACGGAAAGGCAACGCCUCCACACAAAACAACAAAAUAGGACAACGUGAACAAUUAUACUUUAGUGCAGAAUUUCCUAAGUCUUCCAAUAUGAAGUGAAAUCAAUAACACAAGAAUUCUAAAGAUAUGCUUGAAAUGAGGAAAGAUGUUCUGAUCGGUAGUUUAAUACUAUUGACUUGGUAACUUUUUGAUAUCUUCCUAAUCACCGUUAUUUUGGAAUCCAAUCAAGAUGGGAAAUAAAACAAUAUUAAGGAGACAAGACCAUUACUUUUUCUACUGGUGCGUCUAAUUUCCAAAUCUUUGAUAUUUUCUUAGACUUGUACUUCGAAUUAGACGACUUAAAAGUGAAGUCAUCAGGGAGCCGAAGCUCUCAUAUGUGUUAUAAACUAACAACGAAGAGUUACUACGAUGGUUUUUAACUUGUGGGACCGCAGCCUCUCUCCCUGGUCCUCCGGCUCGUCAGGCACCAUAGCGGCGGCAGCAGGAGUAGGGAGCACGCACCACUGCCUCUCUCUGCUAGGCAGACCUCGAGCUCAUAUCAACUGGCGCAGAGAAAAGAAAGAGAAGAAAGCGUGCAGAGAAAAAGACAUCGACAAACUUCCGAAUACUACGUACCAGUGACUGACAUAACCUCUACAUUGUAUCAAACAAUCCAAGUCGGUAACACGUUAGACGUGAUUGUCCGUACACGGGCCGAUUCUCGUUAGACAUCCUAUAUUAGAUCCUAAACGACGUUAAUAGACGAAGUUAAAUAUCCAUAUUCAUGAAGUUUAAGGAAGUUACCAACCCUCUGUAUACUUAAACUAAUGUGAUGAUAAAGUUAAUGACCUACCAAUAAAAGUCACAAUAAAUACUGGUAAAGACAUGAACUGUACCAUAGUUCCAAUGUCGGCUUACAUAGAACAUGGUAUGGUGGGUACCUAGAUUCAUGUUUAAUAUUACUCGUUACUAAAGAGUCCGAUUUUUUAAAGACGAUAGAGUGAGUUCUCGUUAUUAUAUGGGUGACUUCUGACUGUCUUUUGACAUUGGAAUGAAACUCGUCACGUAGACUGUUAUUGUCAACAGGAGAGAAAAAUGUACAAAAUUUUUAGACGUAUAAAAGAACAUUGCUAAAGCCAUUGUUUUAACUUACCGCGCCACAUACGAGUGUAUAGGGGCGAGAAUGUUCGAUGGUAUUCCGUACAAAGUCUGACAAUCACAUAUGAUAUAACGAAUGAGACUGUAACCUAAAACACAAUUGACGAUAUAAUAUAUAAAAACAAAGAAGAGUCCUCGGCGGAGGAGAAAAUGACUAUUUUUGACCAACCUCCCCUAGACGAAAAAGGGGACUAGAAGAGGCGUUAACCCUCGGACUCGGUACCGACUGGGUAAGUAACGACCAGUCCUUUUGGACAGGCGGAGAAGAAUAAAAAGGAGACAACAAGAAGACAACCUGCUUCCCCAAUGAUUGCAUUAGUCCAACCAAAGAAUCACGGAUGGAGGAACGGUCUAAACCACUACUACGGUUUCCUUUGUUACCCAACAACCCUAUGGGCCUUAAUAGAAGAUAGUCGUGAACGUAAGUUUUGGGUUUGACUGGAAAUCAAAUUACCUUGCAUGCAUGUAAGUGACUAAACAUAUGAAUAAUCAAACGGGUCUUCUUGUAUCUACAACCAAAGUAUUAUACAUAAAUACCUAACAUUGGAUGCAAAUAGUUAUGCAGGUAAUAUACGUAUGCCGUUAAAAAUAAUUCCACUAGACCACGAGAAGAAAAAGAAAGCUGAAUACGCACCACCAAUAUUCGGUUCCUUAUCACCUUCACGUAGUGUUAAGAGAGAACAUACUAGUUGGUACAUGUAAUGGACUAUAGUAGAUUACGUGCACUGAGUAAUAGCACGUUUACCGAGGUCGUUUUGGAUUAUUUUUACGAUUAGUCCGAGUUCCACGUACAAAAGGUUGUUCAUCUGAUUUGUACAACCGUUCAUCUAUGCGAUUUUUUUUGUACAGCCGUUCAUCUCUUUUUUCCUGACCCUCCCUGCUAAUUCAAGUUGUUAUCAACUGUAUACGAGUAAACAAAACGAUUAUACCACGAUGCCACCGCAAGUAAACAGACAACAUGGUAAACCAGCACAGCGACAUACUACCGCAAGGUAACAGACUUAAACCUAGCGCCACGUCCAGAGCCGUCGUGGGUUUAUAAGUGUGUAUAACCACUAUCAGACUAUCCGGAAAACCCUAAACGUCACAUACACCUAGAACCGUCUCGUCUCAGUGAAUUGGGGCACUCAGGUAAUAUAAUACGUACAUCACUUACGUACGUAGGUCAGUCACUUAUUACCAACAUUGCUAUUCAAACACAUAAACAAAAUAACUAGUUACACAUGCGGCGUGCGACUCAUUGGAUUGAAGACUUUCAAUACCGACAUCAAUGUUCAUACGUGAUCGUAUAACCAAACAAAAGGCUAAGACCACCCUAAUACAGAAGUAACAUAAAGGGUUGUAAAUAUUGACCAAUGAGAAUUAACUAAUUAACGAAACGUUUUAAAAGACACUACUUGAUGCUACUACUUUCAACAUGACCCAUUCAAUCAAAAGGACUCUUGAAUGGUACCCAGUUUAAUCAUAAUUCAAUUAGUUCAACAAACUUUACUAUAAUCGUCUGUACUGAGCGAAGUACAACCAAGACUUAAGAUGAGUAACAGUCAAGAGAAAAUCAGCAAAACAAAGUUGCUCACGGAUGUUCCAUAGACGCCUCCAAUUGACUUAAUAAAAGGGUAAACUACACACUGUAGGCAUUGAUCGAUGAUCUCUAUUUAAUGAUCUAAUAUAGUGAUACAACUUCGAGAGAAUUUAAUAGUACGAGACAGGUACUCAACCUAGUGAACACAGAAGACCUAUCAACAACGAACUCAAAUUAAAAUGUAACACGAAUACUCUACUAUCAAUAUGGAAUGCACUCUAGGUAGUAAGUAUAACAAAGAAGUGUGAUAAAAACAAUUUUAGAUGUAAAGAAGACAUGUACUUCAGUUUAUCAGUUAUCAACAACCUAGUAAGUCCAAAAGGAGAAGAAAAAACAUGAUAUACUUCACGCAUAUAAAAAUUAGUAAUGUGGCUAAAACGGCUGUCACGGCCGUAUGUACAGGGAAAGUAGUAACGGUAGUAGGAUCGUAGAUCUCCAUCUAGUUUGCAAGCUAUUUUCUAGGGUCCGGAGUGAAAGAGAGCAGUUUAAACUCUUGUAAAAAAAUCCAGACAGUAGAUAAUAAUACCAGUAUUAAACUAGAGAACUAUCUUCAAUUUACUUCCCCCUUGUGGACAAACCUCCUCCCUUUGUUCAUGUAUUAUAAAAAAAAGAAAGGAAGUAAACACGGGAGAUUUAUGACAGUAAAGAAACCGUCCAAUCUCUCAUGGUCCCUAUAUUGUAGUAAAACUUUUAGGCUUAAACCGAUUAGGUACACAUGACCUGGACAAAAACUUCAACAAGACAGAGUAAAAACACUUCCACCCCGACACGUAAACGAACCUAAAACACCACCGGACCAACCCUUUUCCUUCCACGUAGAUGAAAACAAACGAAGUCAAGAGGGAAAACCUAACUCAACAACGAUCAAACGGUACUUCAAGGAAAUGAACUAUUCUUUAAAAUCAAACUUUAUACACCAGUAACCCUCAAGUCUUUUCCACCGUUCGUCCCUUCAGUGAUGAAACAUGAACAUAACGAAGGAAAAUGAGUUCAUGGAAGUAUGUUC
rnacentral:rRNA from 1 species